UAGAGAGUGCUAUACUUUACAACCAUAGCUGCUUAAAGCCGACAACCUUACGUCUUUAUUUCUCAAGACUAACCCUCU
rnacentral:tRNA from 1 species